rnacentral:rRNA from 1 species
UACGGGGGGGGUAAGCGUUGUUCGGAAUUACUGGGCGUAAAGCGCGUGUAGGCGGGUCUUUAAGUCAGGGGGGAAAUGCCAAGGCUCAACCUUUGAAUGCCGAUGGAUACUGUCGAGCUAGAGUCCGGAAGAGGCGAGUGGAAUUCCUGGUGUAGCGGUGGAAUGCGCAGAUAUCAGGAGGAACACCAAUAGCGAAGGCAGCUCGCUGGGACGGUACUGACGCUAAGGCGCGAAAGCGUGGGGAGCAAACAGG